CAUCCCUCAUCUCAUCCAAAGAAACCUCCAAAUUAUCCACAUUUAAUUAGCACCCAAACAAACCUCUGACCCACAAACUCCAGCAGUAAAUUGUAUUCUUCUCUACAACACAGUGAGUAUGCACUUGCAAUUUGACCUGUUCAUGAAAGGCACUAACUUUUAAAGUCAGAAGGAGAACUUCAUGUGGGUAUUUAAGCAUUAGAUCUGUGGAUCCAUCAAAAUCAAA
rnacentral:misc_RNA from 1 species